GUGUCAGCAGCCGCGGUAAUACGUAGGGCGCAAGCGUUAUCCGGAAUUAUUGGGCGUAAAGAGCUCGUAGGCGGUUUGUCGCGUCUGCCGUGAAAGUCCGGGGCUCAACUCCGGAUCUGCGGUGGGUACGGGCAGACUAGAGUGAUGUAGGGGAGACUGGAAUUCCUGGUGUAGCGGUGAAAUGCGCAGAUAUCAGGAGGAACACCGAUGGCGAAGGCAGGUCUCUGGGCAUUAACUGACGCUGAGGAGCGAAAGCAUGGGGAGCGAACAGGAUUAGAAACCCCCGUAGUCC
rnacentral:rRNA from 1 species